UACGGAGGGUGCGAGCGUUGUCCGGAAUCACUGGGCGUAAAGGGCGCGUAGGCGGCAUGCCAAGCGUGUGGUGAAAGCCCGGGGCUCAACCCCGGGUCGGCCGUGCGGACUGGCGUGCUCGAGCACUGUAGGGGCGGGUGGAAUUCCGGGUGUAGCGGUGGAAUGCGUAGAGAUCCGGAAGAACACCGGUGGCGAAGGCGGCCCGCUGGGCAGGAAGGCUCGCAAGAGCUGGCUGACGCUGAGGCGCGACAGCGUGGGGAGCAAACAGG
rnacentral:rRNA from 1 species